GCUAAGCUGGCUCUCUGCUUUGUACAUCAGUCUCCUGUAAAGUCUCGGGGAUUAAUCAACUACAAACACACUGACAUAUUCCAUUUUCUGUAUCUGCAAAGCUGAGGAGCAGAUGCUGGAAUGCCGUGACCCUGAGAAGUGACUGUGCCCUGCCAGGCUCAACAGCUGCCUCCCCAGAUGACACUUUUAUCCAUUCUCCAACUGCAGAAAUGCUACCGCGUAACUGCAUCAGAUCUGGACACACGUGCAUGUGCUAUUAUGGACUAUGAACUAGUGUGCCACUCCCAGGCAGGAAACAGUCUGGCUAUGUUAGCACCGUGAUUGAUCUUCAUUAGGAACCAGAACCCUGACUGCUCUCAGUUGUGGAUCUUCCACUGGGAACAAUAAAAAGAUUCGCUGAGAAUAACCA
rnacentral:lncRNA from 1 species